rnacentral:rRNA from 1 species
AAUCUUGCGCAAUGGGCGAAAGCCUGACGCAGUCAUGCCGCGUGAAUGAUGAAGGUCUUAGGAUUAAAAAAAUCUUUCACCGGGGACGAUAAUGACGGUACCCGGAAAAGAAGCCCCGGUCAACUUCGUGCCAGCAGCCGCGGUAAUACGAAGGGGGCUACCGUUGCUCGGAAUUACUGGGCGUAAAGGGCGCGUAGGCGGAUCGUUAAGUCAGGGGUGAAAUCCCGGGGCUCAACCUCGGAACUGCCCUUGAUACUGGCGAUCUUGAGUAUGAGAAAGGUAUGUGGAACUCCGAGUGUAGAGGUGAAAUUCGUAGAUAUUCGGAAGAACACCAGUGGCGAAGGCGACAUACUGGCUCAUUACUGACGCUGAGGCGCGAAAGCGUGGGGAGCAAA